rnacentral:rRNA from 1 species
UACGGGGGGGGCAAGCGUUGUUCGGAAUUACUGGGCGUAAAGGGUGCGUAGGCGGUCGGGUAAGUCUGAUGUGAAAUCUCACAGCUUAACUGUGAAACUGCAUUGGAUACUAUCCGGCUAGAGGAAUGGAGGGGAGACUGGAAUACUUGGUGUAGCAGUGAAAUGCGUAGAUAUCAAGUGGAACACCAGUGGCGAAGGCGAGUCUCUGGACAUUUCCUGACGCUGAGGCACGAAAGCCAGGGGAGCAAACGGG